rnacentral:rRNA from 1 species
ACUCCUACGGGAGGCAGCAGUGGGGGAUAUUGCACAAUGGACGCAAGUCUGAUGGAGCAACGCCGCGUGAGUGAAGAAGGUUUUCGGAUCGUAAAACUCUGUUGUUAGAGAAGAACGUGUGUGAGAGUAACUGUUCAUGCAGUGACGGUAUCUAACCAGAAAGCCACGGCUAACUACGUGCCAGCAGCCGCGGUAAU